UGUUCAAGAUAAGGAAUGCCAGAAGUCUCACUAAGCAGCAUACGGUCUGGUACCAGGCGGCGAUACCAAGAGGACGUAAUCUCAGAUGAAGAAAUUGAUGGAAGAAGAAUGUUUGAUCUGGAGGAAAAGGUCUACAGCCAAAGGUUCAACUCUGAUAGGAUUAUUCGCAUGCAAGGAAAAGAUUUAACGUAUGAAUUCAUCCAAAGAAGUGGCCUGAGAGACCCAAUCAUCUUUGAGAAAAUUGAUGGACUUGGACUUAAGAUGCCUGAUCCAGAUUUCAGUGUUAAUGAUGUCAAGAUGUUUGUUGGUAGCAGACGUAUGAUUGAUGUCAUGGAUGUUAGCACUCAGAAGGGGACAGAGAUGUCAAUGGCCCAGUGGACACGAUACUAUGAGAGUUCUUCAUCUCAGCGAGAGAAGCUCUACAAUGUUAUCAGCCUGGAGUUCAGCCACACAAAACUGGAAAAUUUGGUCAAGAGACCUUCCACACUUGAUCUUAUAGAUUGGGUUGACAACAUGUGGCCCCGUCACCUGAAAGAGAGGCAGCGAGACUCUACCAACUCAAUCAGUGAUAUGCAGUAUCCCAAAGUACAAAAGUACUGUCUGAUGAGUGUGGAGGGAUGCUAUACAGACUUUCACAUAGACUUUGGAGGAACAUCUGUGUGGUAUCAUAUACUAAAAGGAAGCAAGGUAGUCUGGCUGAUCCCUCCCACAGCUCCGAACUUAGAGCUCUAUGAACACUGGGUCUUGUCAGGAAAACAGGGAGAUAUUUUUCUUGGGGAUCGAGCAUCUGAUUGCCAGAGGAUUGAACUUCGACAAGGAUGGACCUUCAUCAUACCAUCAGGUUGGAUUCAUGCAGUCUACACACCUAUUGAUUCCAUUGUCUUUGGAGGCAACUUUCUUCACAGCUUUAACAUUCCAAUGCAACUCAACAUCUGUAAUAUUGAGGACCGCACACGGGUUCCCGUGAAGUUUCGUCACCCAUUCUAUAAUGAGAUGUGCUGGUAUGUGUUGGAGCGCUAUAUCUUCAGUCUGACCAAGACCUCUUACCUUACACCAGAAUUUCAGAGGUUGUCUCUAGAUAUUGAUCCAGCAUUUGAGGAUAUGGAGGAAGAAGAUAAGAGUGUCAGUGAAGAUGAUGUUUCAGAGCAGCUCUGUAACAAACCAGCAGGUCAAGUUAAUUUGACUCCAUUGGAGCUUGAGGGGCUGUGGAACUUGGUGGGUAAACUUGAAUCAUUGCCAUCCAACAAGAAGUGUGUCCCACCAGGCAUACACAAUUCCCUGGAACUCAUCACACACAUUAAGGCAGUCCUAAAGGAGCAUGCUAAUGAUGAUCCAAAACAAUCCUACACCGGAAAACCCAUUGUCAGAUGGCCAAAGAGGCCCUUGAACUAUCAGUCACUACCAGCACCAACUCCUCUUCAUCCUAAACUGGUUGCUGCUCCUGUCAUGCCACGACCACAGAAGCCUUCCUCUUCCAUGUCUGUCCUGAGGCGACGCAGGGUCAGGUGUAAGCGCUGUGAGGCGUGUAUGAGAGCUGAAUGUGGUGAUUGUAAUUUCUGCCGAGACAUGAAAAAGUUUGGAGGACCUGGAAAGCUUAAGCAAACCUGUGUGCUACGCCAAUGUCUCUCACCAGGACUUCCGCUGUCUGCGGUUUGUGAAAUAUGCAAGGAGCCAAACCAAGACGAAACUGGAGGUGGCGUCUUUACUCUGAUGGAAUGUUCCAAUUGUGCACAGAUAGUGCACCCAGCUUGCCUCACGGGAGAGCCCGGACACCCUGGGGAGAAACCCAUUUCGACCGCUCGGUCAAACAUCAUAGGGGAAAUCUUUGGAUUGCUUCCAUAUUCCAACCAGGUUCGAGGUGAAGGAGUUAUCAACAAAGAUCUUCCAAGCUGUUGGGAAUGUCCAAAAUGUGUUCAAGGGAUAACUGACUCAGAGAAACGGAAAUGUUCCUCUCUGCUGGAUUCCCGUAUGGCUAAGAUAUUUCGACAGCAGAGACAUAGUCGUGAUGAAAAUGACUCCAGCGACGAUGACGAGGAUGAAGCCACACAGAGAAAAAGGGUAAGGAUACAGCGAGGAGGAUGCCACUCUUCCCGGAGGGGAUUUCGUACCAACAGGCGAGGACUUCUUAAAGGACUAUCGACCCACAGAGGAAGCAGUGAAGGGCCUUUGACUCUUGGUACUCCUUCCAUCCUCAAGAACAAGUCUGGUAGGAGGAGAGGGGUGAGAUUAAGGGGUGGUUCAAAGAUGCAGCAAAGAGGCGCUUCCACUGAGGAAUCUGAUUGUGAUGAGGAGGAAGAAGACGAUGACAGUGAAAAUGGAGACCAAGAUCAGCAUCCUCAUCAUUAUAAUUGGAGGUCAAGGAGUCAUGAUGAUGAAGGUGAGGAGAGUGAGAAACAUGAAUUUGACCCAGAGGAUGAGGUCAUGGACCUAGAAGAUGAAGACCAGGAAGGACCCGGGGAUUCUGACCCAGAACCUCCAGUGCUCUUGAUGUCGGAUCUAAAUGAUGACAUGCUUUGCGGCUCCUACCUGACUGUGACACUACAACAUCCCACCAAGACCAAUACAAUAUCUGUUCCAAAAAUGGAAGCUGCCUUGGGUUUUAAGACACCUCCAGUAAAUGCAUGUGGUCAACAAAUCUUCAACCAAAAGAGCAGUUUUUCCAAACCUUUACGGUUCAAGAGCGAUGACAACACACGAGAUUGCCACACUCCACAAGGAUCAGGAAGGUCAAGUCUUCGCGGCAUCCGGAGCUCUGUCAAUCAGUCUGUGUCCACAGAGGAAGGGGAACCAGUUACUUCCUCUGUCCCUCCAACACUAUCACUUCCAUCCCCGCUGUGCAUAUCAUCUUUUCAGGAUGUGGAUGGGAGUGGAGGAGAGAAGGAAGUGUGGGUGUCUGUGUUCAGAUACCUAAACAAAGCUGAACUACUCAACUGCAUGACUGUCUGCAAGGCCUGGUAUAAGUGGAGCUUCGAUAAGCAUCUAUGGAGCCAUCUGAAUAUGAGUCGAUUCAAUCAACUUAAUAACCAGGCCCUGGCAGGUAUCAUAAAACAUCAGCCCACUUCUUUGGACCUCUCAUGGACACCCCUGGCUAAAAGACAGCUCAUCUGUCUUCUAACCAGGCUUCCAGGUCUUAGAGAGUUGAGGGUUGCUGGCCUCUCCUGGUCAUGCCUAUCAGCAUUGGUCUCCCCUGCUCUUCCCCAUCUUCAACUACUGGAUCUCCGCUGGUGUGAAGGCAUUAAAGAUACACAAUUUAAAGAACUCCUCACCCAACAUGGCUCAGAGUCAUCUCGCUCCAGACUAAAGAACAUAGUGACACUGCACCUGUCUGGUCUGGAUAUCAAUGAAUCCACUCUGAGACUUAUGCAGCAUCAUAUGCCACACUUGCAGAAGCUGGACCUCGCACACUGCAAGAACAUUACAGAUUCUUCCAUAGCUUUACUGGCAGCAGGGGGGGCACGCACUCGGAGCAACCUCAAUGAACUCAUUCUCACAGGUUGUUAUCAGCUGAGCGAUGGGUGUAUGUCCUACCUGAAGCGCAUAUCCUCUUUGACUCUUCUGGAUAUAAGAGGCUGCAAAAACAUCAGUAUCCAAGCCUGCAACACCUUCAUCUCUGACCUGUCACACGUUGCUGUGUACUGUAUGAUAGAGGAGAAGGUCAUCCAAUGUCUGAACUAAGAGGGAUGGCAGAGAGCAGGCAGCAAUCUUCUGGCGCUGUUGACCACUCUGCAGAGCUUUCCUGUCCGCUGCUGUGCAUCCAGCAUACCACAAUAUGAUACAAUGUUGCAGGAACGAUCUCCUGCACAAGAGGUUGACAUCAAACCAGCAGAUGCUGAUCCUGACAAAGCCCAAGAUUUAGCACAACAUCAAGAUUUGUCGACAGCAGAUAUUAUACUGUCAUAAUUAUUUAAACCUCAGGUGUUCUCAAAGUACUCUUAUUGAAAGACCAAAUAAGCAUUAAGAAAAAAUGCUACGAGCGAAACAUAUUUAUACACAAUGUAACCAUACAGUUUAAUAAAAAUGUUACGAUUUUA